rnacentral:rRNA from 1 species
CAGCAGCCGCCACGGGAAUACGGAGGGAGCUAGCGUUGUUCGGAAUUACUGGGCGUAAAGCGCGCGUAGGCGGUUACUCAAGUCAGAGGUGAAAGCCCGGGGCUCAACCCCGGAACUGCCUUUGAAACUAGGUGACUAGAAUCUUGGAGAGGUCAGUGGAAUUCCGAGUGUAGAGGUGAAAUUCGUAGAUAUUCGGAAGAACACCAGUGGCGAAGGCGACUGACUGGACAAGUAUUGACGCUGAGGUGCGAAAGCGUGGGGAGCAAACAGGAUUAGAUACCCGGGUAGUCCCUGUCUCUUAUAC